GUAGGUGGCAAGCGUUGUCCGGAAUUAUUGGGGCGUAAAGCGCGCGCAGGCGGUUCUUUAAGUCUGAUGUGAAAGCCCACGGGCUCAACCGUGGAGGGUCAUUGGAAACUGGAGAACUUGAGUACAGAAGAGGAAAGCGGAAUUCCACGUGUAGCGGUGAAAUGUGUAGAGAUGUGGAGGAACACCAGUGGCGAAGGCGGCUUUCUGGUCUGUAACUGACGCUGAGGCGCGAAAGCGUGGGGAGCAAACAGGAUUAGAUACCCUGGUAGUCCACGCCGUAAACGAUGAGUGCUAAGUGUUAGGGGGUUUCCGCCCCUUAGUGCUGCAGCUAACGCAUUAAGCACUCCGCCUGGGGAGUACGGCCGCAAAGGCUG
rnacentral:rRNA from 1 species